UGUAGGCGGGAAGAUAAGUCAGAUGUGAAAUUCCAUGGCUCAACUGUGGCGCUGCAUCUGAAACUAUUUUUCUUGAGUGAUGGAGAGGAAAGCGGAAUUCCUAGUGUAGCGGUGAAAUGCGUAGAUAUUAGGAGGAACACCAGUGGCGAAGGCGGCUUUCUGGACAUUAACUGACGCUGAGGCGCGAAAGCGUGGGGAGCAAACAGGAUUAGAUACCCUGGUAGUCCACGCUGUAAACGAUGGAUACUAGGUGUAGGAGGUAUCGACCCCUUCUGUGCCGGAGUUAACACAAUAAGUAUCCCACCUGGGGAGUACGGCCGCAAGGUUGAA
rnacentral:rRNA from 1 species